GCGCCUCGUCGCCAACGUCGAGGACCUUGGUGCGGUUGAAGCCGAGUUCCUUGCCGCUGGCUUCGAAGGCACCAU
rnacentral:tRNA from 1 species